AAGUAUGUCUUGGAGGGUCAUGAUAGAGGGGUUAACUGGGCAUCAUUUCAUCCUACACUCCCCCUUAUAGUUUCUGGUGCAGAUGAUCGCCAAGUGAAAAUUUGGCGGAUGAAUGAUACAAAAGCUUGGGAGGUGGACACGUUGAGAGGACACAUGAACAAUGUUUCAUGCGUUCUAUUCCAUCCAAGGCAAGAUAUUAUUGUUUCAAAUUCAGAGGAUAAGAGCAUCCGAGUGUGGGAUGCAACAAAAAGGACUGGUCUUCAGACAUUCCGCAGGGAGCAUGAUAGAUUUUGGAUCCUUGCAUCUCAUCCAGAGAUGAAUCUUCUAGCAGCUG
rnacentral:misc_RNA from 1 species